ACAUGUGUACAACAUAGCGUUAAUGCAUCGGAUCCCAUUGGAAGUUUGUUUCUAAGUGCACUCGAGCUAGAGUAGUACUAGGAUGAGACCGCCUGGGAAUUCCUACUGUUUUACAUGCU
rfam:Picea glauca, whole genome shotgun sequence.